rnacentral:rRNA from 1 species
GAGGGCAGUCUGGUGCCAGCAGCCGCGGUAAUUCCAGCUCUCAAAGUGUAUAUCGUCAUUGCUGCGGUUAAAAAGCUCGUAGUUGGAUCUUCGUCUAAGGACCCGGUCCGUUCAUUGGAUGAGAACUGGGCUCCUAGACUAUUGAUGUCAGUUUUUCCCUACGUUACUUUUAUCGGUUGCGUAGGGUGGCUGACAAGUUUACCUUGAAAAAAUUAGAGUGCUCAAUGCGGGCUGAUGCCUGAAUACUCGUGCAUGGAAUAAUGAAAUAGGAUCUCGGUUCUAUUUUGUUGGUUUUCUGAAUUGAGAUAAUGGUUAAGAGGGACGGACGGGGGCAUUCGUAUCGCUGCGUGAGAGGUGAAAUUCUUGGACCGUAGCGAGACGUCCGACUGCGAAAGCAUUUGCCAAGAAUGUCUUCAUUAAUCAAGAACGAAAGUCAGAGGUUCGAAGGCGAUCAGAUACCGCCCUAGUUCUGACCGUAAACGAUACCAACUAGCGUUCCGUUGGCGGUAAAUACGCCUUGACGGGCAGCUUCCCGGAAACGAAAGUUUUUCGGUUCCGGGGGAAGUAUGGUUGCAAAGCUGAAACUUAAAGAAAUUGACGGAAGGGCACCACCAGGAGUGGAGCCUGCGGCUUAAUUUGACUCAACACGGGAAAACUCACCUGGCCCGGACACCGUGAGGAUUGACAGAUUGAGAGCUCUUUCAUGAUUCGGUGGUUGGUGGUGCAUGGCCGUUCUUAGUUGGUGGAGUGAUUUGUCUGGUUUAUUCCGAUAACGAGCGAGACUCUAGCCUACUAAAUAGUUACUGGAUAGCUUACCGUCCAGACAACUUCUUAGAGGGACAAGCGGUGUUUAGCCGCAUGAAGUUGAGCAAUAACAGGUCUGUGAUGCCCUUAGAUGUCCAGGGCUGCACGCACGCUACACUGGAGGAAUCAGCGUGCUGUAACCAUUGCCGAAAGGUAUUGGUAACCCCUUGAAAAUCCUCCGUGAUCGGGAUCGGGAAUUGCAAUUAUUUCCCUUGAACGAGGAAUUCCUAGUAAGUGUGAGUCAUCAGCUCACGUUGAUUACGUCCCUGCCCUUUGUACCACCGCCCGUCGCUA